AUGCUUCUCUCCAGCUUUCUGAGGGUGGUCCUGGCUUCACUGUGGCUAGGAUCCAGUGUUGCCCAGAAGGUAUCUCAAGACCAACCAGCAAGGUUAGUGCAGGAGAAGGAGGCUGUGACCCUGGACUGCACAUAUGACCCAAGUGAUCCAAAUUAUAGUUAUAGUCUCUUCUGGUACAAGCAGCCCAGCAGUGGGGCGAUGAUUUUUCUCAUUCGUCAGGACUCUUACAACCAGCAAAACCACACAGAGGGUCGCUACACAUUGAAUUUCCAGAAGGCAAACAAAACCAUCAAACUUGUCAUCUCAGCUUCACAGCUGGAGGACUCUGCAGUGUAUUUCUGUGCCCUGAGGGAGCCCACAGUGAGAGGCGUGUUGGAGGGAGGUGUACCAAAACCCAGGGCUCUGCUUGAUACCUCCACCUGCUGUGGGGACCAGGGCAGGGAAUUGCCUUCACAGGCAGGAAGUGGUCAGGGCUGUGGCAGCCCAGGUGUAGGGUUAGAGGGAAAACACUCAUUCUAA